UUCCAGGCCUCCAAAAGAGGGAAAUAGCCGAAGGCUCUUCGACGAGGUUAAUACAGCCCCUCCUCACCGAAGUGGUGUCUCAGAGGUUGCAACAAAUGGAACGUUUUGCAGCAACUUGACUAGUGCAGCUUUCGUAAGGCACAAGUAUAAGAACUAUAAUAUAUGGAGCACCGUCAAAGCAACACUUACCACGUUUGGUUCGCCACACUUUAUAGUUUUC